rnacentral:snRNA from 1 species
GUGCUCACUUCAGCAGCACAUACACUAAAAUUGAAACAGUACAGAGAUUAGCAUGGCCCCUGUGCAAGGAUGACAUGCAAAUUCGUGAAGCGUUCCUUAUUUUU